rnacentral:lncRNA from 1 species
CAUCAUUCUACCCCCAGAGCUGACAGAUUUGGCAAAUAAAAUUUACAAGAUGCCCUGUUAAAUUAGAAUUUCAGACAAACAACCUACUCCACACUGACUCAGGAGGGUCCCUCAGAGAUAGAUGUCACUGAGCCUCGGGAAGCAGGAAGCUCCAUCCCUGCCCAUUAAGCCCCCUCUCAGGGUCCCCUCAAGGAAGACAGUGGCUCCAGAAGCUCUCCAUGUUCUAAAGAAGGCUUCUGGAACCCCAGUUCUGUGACGUCAUCCAUCUCCUGGAAAUACACUGGUUUUAACCAGGCAAAUUGGCCAAGCAUCAGGCAGAAGUAGCAGCUGGGCCUGGGAGGACAGAGAUGGAGUCUCACUCUGGAGUGAUCUCGGCUCACUGCAACCUCUGCCUCCUGGGUUCAAGCAAUUCUGCCUCAGCCUCCCGAGUAGCUGGGACUACAGGUGCAUGCCACCAUGCCUGGCUAAUUUUUUUUUGUAUUUUAGUAGCGACAGGGUUUCACCUUGUUGCCCAGGCUGGUCUUGAGCUCCUGAGCUCAGGCAAUCUGCCUGCCUCGGCCUCCCAAAGUGCUAGGAUUACAGGCGUGAGCCACCACGCCCGGCCGAUUAUGUUAUGUUAUGUAUGUUAAAGUAUGUCCUAUCCUCAUCCUCUGACAAAUAUGCCUUUAAAAGGAUAAAAUUUUAAAAUAUAUAUGAAGCUAUGAUUUGUAUAUGACAGAAAGUUAGCAAAAUGUCAAAGAUCAUGAAAUUUCAUGUUUAUUGCGCAUGUCUGGGUGCUCUGUUGAUGGGCUGACAAUAUUGGGAUGAGUAAUAAAGAUGUGGAAUUUAUAAAUUACUGAAACUAUUCCAUGAAAUGUAUUUUUCUUAUCUUUCAGCAAAAUCGGUAAUUAUGUUAUUAUUAUCAAGAUUUGAAAAUACAUGUAAG